AAAAUUGAAAUCACGGUUUUAUAAUUAGAUUGAGAAAACUUAGCAUCGGUGCAGUAAAUAAUAACAAUAACAAAAGCGUGGAAAGAUAGAAACGGCAACCUCAAACCCAACUUGAGUUUUUUUUUUUUGAUAACAAAAGGCGAGUUGAAGUUAUAAUAGAUGCAUGUACAUGAGUAAUGAGUUGCGGCAUGCCGACAUUGACUAUAUAUCAAACGUCUCAUCUUCUCCCUAAAAGUAAAUAAUUAAAGACCUUUUAACUACUCUUAGUCAAAUAAAUACGAAGUGUCGAUCAUAAUUUUGAUUUGUAGACCCUUUAACAAUAAUAAAUAAUAAAUAAUAAAUAAUAAUAAAAAUAUAAUAAUGGCAGACGAAAUUCCUUUGUCCUUGAGUGUGAACUUGAGUUGCUCCGAGGUUGAUGGUGAUAAUGAUAAGAAAGUAGAAAUUGAAGUUGGGUUAUCAUCAUUAAGUGUAUCUCCUAAGAAGGAGAAGAAGCUGUUAGUUCUUGAUUUGAAUGGCUUGCUCAUUCAUGGUACUCACCGCGCCAAUAAGUUUGAUAUCCCUCUCGAUCAAUCGCCGUCCUGAUGCUGUCUAUGGCCAACGCUUAGUUUAUAAGAGGCCUUUCCUUGACGAGUUCUUGAAAUUCUGCCUUGAGAGGUUUGAAGUAGGCAUAUGGUCUUCCGCGAAAGAGUAUGUUAUUCAUCAAUUCAUGCAUUAUAUAUCUUUGAAUUAAUCUACUUUUACAAAUGACAACUUAAGGUAAUUUAAUGAAUGUCAACAUUGAUGGCAUCUUUGACUGUGUUUUCAAGGAAUUGAGGAGCAGCUUCUUGUUUGUUUGGGUAACUCAUUACUGAUGAUUCUAUCAAGUUAUUUGAGUUUACUGUAAUAGUUGGUUUAGUGUAUUGAUUUGUCGUUGAUAUUAUAUAUAGGACCAAAAAAGAUGUUCUGAUUUUGGGUUUAAGGCAUUAGGGAACAAAUACAAACCACUUUUUUCAAAGAGCUCAACAAACUUUGGGAGACCUUGGCGCCUUUUAGAGAAUCAAAUACUUUGUUGAUAGAUGAUGCACCUCACAAAAGCCUCCUUAAUCCGCCAAACACCGCCAUAUUUCCCAGGGUAUAUGAUGCAGGAAAUCUGAAUGAUGAUUUUUUAGAUCCAAAGAGGGGCCUGUGUUCCUAUCUACAAGGGUUAGCAGAUGCCGAGGAUGUUCCAUCAUAUGUCAAAGCAAAUUGUUUCGGACAGCCUGCUAUAGGACCCCAACACCCUAAUUGGACCUUCUACUCCAAAGUUCUGCGUUGUGCCACGCCACCACUCAUUAGUCAUUACCCAACCAGGCUAAUUUUGCAAACAACCUGAAUAAACUAUCAAAAUGACUCUUAGGAUAAAUCUGCUGAUAUAAACUUUGCUAUGUAACGCCUGUGUUUUGUGAUUUCAGAUACAAAAUAUUCCGUCUUAUUAUUCAGCGUCAUGGAUAUGAUGGCUAUUAUUAUCAUGUAUAUAAGUGUAUAAUCUCCAACUUGUGCAAAAAGUGUUGAAAUAGUCAACAGAAAGGCCACCUCAUAGUAUUAUUAGGUUGUUUUUUUGUUUACAAAUGUUUACCAACCAAUUCAAUAAAUCGACCAUUAAGCUAGGUUAUUCGUACGGAGUAUUAU